AACAGCUCAAAUUUGAAAUCUGGCUCCUCUGGAGUCCGAGUUGUAAUUUGUAGAGGAUGCUUUUGGACGGCCACCGGUCUAAGUUCCUUGGAACAGGACGUCGCAGAGGGUGAGAAUCCCGUAUGUGAYCGGUCAGGCCUCCGUUGUAUAGCUCCUUCGACGAGUCGAGUUGUUUGGGAAUGCAGCUCUAAAUGGGAGGUAAAUUUCUUCUAAAGCUAAAUACCGGCCAGAGACCGAUAGCGCACAAGUAGAGUGAUCGAAAGAUGAAAAGCACUUUGGAAAGAGAGUUAAAAAGCACGUGAAAUUGUUGAAAGGGAAGCGCUUGCAACCAGACCUGCCCGUGUCGGUUCGGCCGGUCUUCUGACCGGUUUACUCCGGCGUCGGCAGGCCAGCAUCGGUUUCGGUGGUCGGAUAAAGGGCCCGGGAAUGUGGCUCCUUCGGGAGCGUUAUAGCCCGGGCCGCAAUACGGCCCGCCGGGACUGAGGUCCGCGCUUCGGCUAGGAUGCUGGCGUAAUGGUUGUAAGCGGCCCGUCUUGAAACACGGACCAAGGAGUCUAACAUCUAUGCGAGUGUUCGGGUGUCAAACCCCUGCGCGUAAUGAAAGUGAACGGAGGUGGGAACCCUCACGGGUGCACCAUCGACCGAUCCUGAUGUCUUCGGAUGGAUUUGAGUAAGAGCAUAGCUGUUGGGACCCGAAAGAUGGUG
rnacentral:rRNA from 1 species